GAUGAACGCUGGCGGCGUGCCUAAUACAUGCAAGUCGAGCGAACAGACGAGGAGCUUGCUCCUCUGACGUUAGCGGCGGACGGGUGAGUAACACGUGGAUAACCUACCUAUAAGACUGGGAUAACUUCGGGAAACCGGAGCUAAUACCGGAUAAUAUAUUGAACCGCAUGGUUCAAUAGUGAAAGACGGUUUUGCUGUUACUUAUAGAUGGAUCCGCGCCGCAUUAGCUAGUUGGUAAGGUAACGGCUUACCAAGGCAACGAUGCGUAGCCGACCUGAGAGGGUGAUCGGCCACACUGGAACUGAGACACGGUCCAGACUCCUACGGGAGGCAGCAGUGGGGAAUCUUCCGCAAUGGGCGAAAGCCUGACGGAGCAACGCCGCGUGAGUGAUGAAGGUCUUCGGAUCGUAAAACUCUGUUAUUAGGGAAGAACAAAUGUGUAAGUAACUAUGCACGUCUUGACGGUACCUAAUCAGAAAGCCACGGCUAACUACGUG
rnacentral:rRNA from 1 species